AGCCAGUCAGACCGUGACACAGACAGCUAAAUGGAAAUACAGACUUUAGGCCUAGUACAUGUGGGACUGAUAGACAGGUAUGAUGUGUACGUGUUUGUGUAAAUGGAGGGGAAGGACCCCGAGUACCUGUCGGCGACAUUUUGCAAUUUACAUGAUAGAGCAGCACAGGUAGCAGCACGAAUCUCUGCCUGUCUGACUGACAUCUCAGUGGAUGUUCACACACUACCUGAAAAUUAACCAUGACAAGACUCAACUACUUUUCCUUCAAGAGGCCGGCCUGUAGCUGUGGAUCCUGCCCCGGCUUGCACACAGGAAUGUACUAUUGAGAAAGCGCUGCACCGCAAACCCUCCCAGCCAUUCCAACCCGUAAUCAGAUCCAGCCUGUCAUCCCCCAUCCCGUCUCCAAUCUCUCUCUCUCGCUCUCUAUUUUCUCUUCAAAUCCUUUUCUCUCUAAAUGACAUGCACACACGCAGAAAACAAACACCCACAUAUGAGA